GCCUACGGGGGGCAGCAGUAGGGAAUCUUCCACAAUGGGCGAAAGCCUGAUGGAGCAACGCCGCGUGGGUGAAGAAGGUCUUCGGAUCGUAAAACCCUGUUGUUAGAGAAGAAAGUGCGUGAGAGUAACUGUUCACGUUUCGACGGUGUCUAACCAGAAAGCCACGGCUAACUACGUGCCAGCAGCCGCGGUAAUACGUAGGUGGCAAGCGUUAUCCGGAUUUAUUGGGCGUAAAGAGAACGCAGGCGGUCUUUUAAGUCUGAUGUGAAAGCCUUCGGCUUAACCGGCGUAGUGCAUUGGAAACU
rnacentral:rRNA from 1 species